rnacentral:rRNA from 1 species
UACGGAGGGGGCAAGCGUUGUCCGGAUUUAUUGGGCGUAAAGAGCGUGUAGGCGGCCUUACAGGUCAGCUGUGAAAACUCGAGGCUCAACCUCGAGACGUCGGUUGAAACCGUAAGGCUAGAGUCCGGAAGAGGAGAGUGGAAUUCCCGGGUGUAGCGGUGAAAUGCGCAGAUAUCGGGAAGAACACCCGUGGCGAAGGCGGCUCUCUGGGACGGUACUGGACGCUGAGA